rnacentral:rRNA from 1 species
GACGAACGCUGGCGGCGUGCUUAACACAUGCAAGUCGAACGAAGAGCGAUGGAAGCUUGCUUCUAUCAAUCUUAGUGGCGAACGGGUGAGUAACGCGUAAUCAACCUGCCCUUCAGAGGGGGACAACAGUUGGAAACGACUGCUAAUACCGCAUACGACCUAAUCUCGGCAUCGAGGAUAGAUGAAAGGUGGCCUCUACAUGUAAGCUAUCACUGAAGGAGGGGAUUGCGUCUGAUUAGCUAGUUGGAGGGGUAACGGCCCACCAAGGCGAUGAUCAGUAGCCGGUCUGAGAGGAUGAACGGCCACAUUGGGACUGAGACACGGCCCAGACUCCUACGGGAGGCAGCAGUGGGGAAUCUUCCGCAAUGGACGAAAGUCUGACGGAGCAACGCCGCGUGAGUGAUGACGGCCUUCGGGUUGUAAAGCUCUGUUAAUCGGGACGAAAGGCCUUCUUGCGAACAGUUAGAAGGAUUGACGGUACCGGAAUAGAAAGCCACGGCUAACUACGUG